AGCGGGAUGCCGAAGUCGGGUCCCGCCCGUUUCAACUCGCUGAUUUCAGGAGGUUUAUCAUGAGU
rfam:Pseudomonas stutzeri A1501, complete genome.